AUGCUUGGCUGAUGAAUUGUACAAACAAUAGUUCGUCCAGUGUCUACUGUCUUUCUCACUGUCCUCAUGACAAUUGCCGCAGCACGGGCAUCCAAGCCAGUGGUCGGCUCAUCCAUAAAUAUAAUGGAAGGGCUAGAAACAAGCUCCACAGCUAUUGUUAGCCUUUUUCGUUGCUCAGCCGACAGGCCAGUUGCUCCUGCCAGACCCACCAUGGUAUUCUUCAGUCCUGUUAACUCAACUAGAUCCAUGACUUCAUCUAUAAACAUCUGA
rnacentral:rRNA from 1 species